rnacentral:rRNA from 1 species
GCAGUGGGGAAUCUUCCGCAAUGGGCGCAAGCCUGACGGAGCAACGCCGCGUGAGUGACGAAGGCAUUCGGGUUGUAAAACUCUGUGUACAGGGAAGAAAAAAAUGACGGUACCUGAGGAGGAAGCCCCGGCCAACUACGUGCCAGCAGCCGCGGUAAAACGUAGGGGUCAAGCGUUGUCCGGAAUUACUGGGCGUAAAGGGCGCGCAGGCGGUUCUUUAAGUCAGAGGUGAAAACCGUCGGAUCAACCGGCAGACUGCAUAUGAAACUGGAGGACUUGAGGGCAGGAGAGGGGAGUGGAAUUCCCAGUGUAGCGGUGAAAUGCGUAGAUAUUGGGAGGAACACCAGUGGCGAAGGCGACUCUCUGGCCUGUUACUGACGAAGAGGCGCGAAAGCGUGGGGAUCAAACAGGCUUAGAUAC